rnacentral:rRNA from 1 species
UACAGGGGGGGCAAGCGUUGUUCGGAAUUACUGGGCGUAAAGGGCUCGUAGGUGGCCAACUAAGUCAGACGUGAAAUCCCUCAGCUUAACUGGGGAACUGCGUCUGAUACUGGAUGGCUUGAGUUUGGGAGAGGGAUGCGGAAUUCCAGGUGUAGCGGUGGAAUGCGUAGAGAUCCGGAAGAACACCGGUGGCGAAGGCGGCCUGCUGGGCAGUAGCUGACACUGAGGCGCGACAGCGUGGGGAGCAAACAGG